ensembl:lncRNA
GGGGAACUAGGUUUUAGCAAUUGAAAAACAUAAAUGACUUUAAUUAUACGGAAAGAACGAGGAUUGUUUUCCUAGAAUGCAUCGGAAUGAGUAGAAACAGUAAUUGAGCAAAUGAAUUCCGAUAGAGGCAUAAUUGAUACUUGAAAACUCAAAUAAUAAUCUACAUUACUUCAACUGCGAUAACUUACAGGAGGGAAUUCUUAACAAUGCUUUCUAACAGUCAAUCUUGGUCAGGUUCUCAUCCUUCCAAAUAAAUCUCUUUGGAGUUAAAGCUAUAUUUUGGAAAUUAAUGACUUCUUCCAUGUGAGGCUAUCCUCAGAAGCCGACCAAAUUCUGAUAAAUCUAUAAAGCAAACUACGUUCUUUUCACUGGGAUCUGGAAGAGGAUGACAUUUAUGUAAUGGAUGAGUUUUGUGCCGUCCCCAGGAAAAUAAUCUCGUAUUUUACUAAGCUAUAGUCUGCAGAAAAAUUGCUGCUUUCAUACGCUUAAUAAAGACUCACUGAAACAUCUCACAGAAAUCCCUGAGGAUCAUCUCUGCAGUGAGCCCUGCUGGAAGUCUGAGGAGGGAAUGGUGAUGGGCCUGGGCAGCAGAAGAGCAGCACCAAGCCCUGCUCCUCCAGCUGAUGGCCUGAAGGCAAAUGGACAGGGAAGGAGGGGUUGGAGACCCUUCAAGAAGGGUGUGAGAGGGAUUUAGUGAAGUGACCGCGUGGGACCAGUGGGAACUGGGAAGAGCCUUUGGAGAUCCCCAGCAAGGGCUGGGUUUGGCCGACAGUUCAGGCAGCCAUGAAUUCAUGGUGAUGGAGGAGCCUUUGCUUUCCAAGGAUUAUCGCUGUCUGCCUUACAGCCUUCAAGUCCUGGCCCAGAGAGCCCCAGGGUAGGAGAUGCUGCACAGCACAAGCCAAAAGGUCUGCAUUUACCCCUGAAAUAUUUGCCAUCAAAGCACAGAGAACACGUUGGGCUGGCAGGAGGAUGUGAUUCGUGCCAGGAUGGGAAGUCUGGAGCUGAGAAAAGUCCAAAACCUUUACUGAGAGGACGUCUGGUGUGUUGCACUACACGGAACAUUAACUCCUGGGCUUGCUCUGCUCUGUUUGUGCUCCUUCACAGACUGAUCUCACAGCAAACCGAGUUGCCCAAUGCUGAGGAUGUGGGUCUGUCAGCUUCAUAUCUAACCAAAGCCUCAACACUGUGAUUCUGGGCUGUGUCGGUGCCGUCAGGUGCAGGUGAGAGGCAGCACAUCCAUCCUGAGACCUAGAAAACAGGUAUGGAGCUGUUCCCCAUUGGGAAAUUAUUUCUUU